ACUCACGGGGAAGAGAAAAAGACAGUUGCUCGUGUGAGGUCGUCAGUUGGUGGUGCAGGGAGGAGAGACAGAGCAGCAGCGGAGGUGUGAGCAACGGACGAUAGAGGAGAGGUGAACUUACGGAAAUAUUUGGGGGAGUGUAUCCACGAAGCUCCCUGCCACCUGCAUUGAUCGAUCCGCUGUAAGCCGAACAGAGGCGGGUGGAUCUCGUCUAUGACCCGUCAGAAGCCGCAUUGAAGUCCGCCUCCUAAGUGAGUGGGCGGUACAUACUGGCAAGGCAGAGUGCUAGGAGGGAGGUGCGGCUGGGAUACUAAGAGCGACGCGACCCUCCGGAGCUGCUGGAUAGAGGACACAGCCUCAUAGAGACUGAAGGGCAGCUGUCCUGGCCAAUAAUUGAGUUGGGAGGAAGAGUCGAGGGAGAGGCUAUUCCCCUUUCAGGCUGACAGAUGAAUACACGACGAGCCAGAAUACAUUUUUGUCCGUCGCCAACCAGUGGAGGAGACACCUGUGCCAAUGAUUUAUGGGGGCCCCAGACAGGGGCAAGAUAGGUGGGCUGGCCCAGAAGCGGGCAGGCAGCAGCCCACUUAUACAAGAGAACAGUUGCAGCGUGCCGUUCUGCUCCUGCGGGUGGUGGUCCACCUCUUAGUGGACCACUUUUUUAAUUUGUUGUUAAGAUCAUUUUAAAUUUUUUUUUUUUUUUUUAAUAAAUGUUUG